CAGUAGCCGCGGUAAUACGAAGGGUGCAAGCGUUAAUCGGAAUUACUGGGCGUAAAGCGCGCGUAGGUGGUUUGGUAAGAUGGAUGUGAAAUCCCCGGGCUCAACCUGGGAACUGCAUCCAUAACUGCCUGACUAGAGUACGGUAGAGGGUGGUGGAAUUUCCUGUGUAGCGGUGAAAUGCGUAGAUAUAGGAAGGAACACCAGUGGCGAAGGCGACCACCUGGACUGAUACUGACACUGAGGUGCGAAAGCGUGGGGAGCAAACAGGAUUAGAUACCCGCGUAGUCCCUGUCUCUUAUAC
rnacentral:rRNA from 1 species